rnacentral:rRNA from 1 species
AACAACGCUGGCGGCAUGCCCAAUACAUGCAAGUCGAACGAGAUCUUCGCCAUCUAGUGUGCGCACGGGUGCGUAACGCGUGGGAAUCGCCUUGGGUUCGGAAUAACUUCUGGAAACGGAAGCUAAUACCGGAUGAUGACGUAAGUCCAAAGAUUUAUCGCCCAAGGAUGAGCCCGCGUAGGAUUAGGUAGUUGGUGAGGUAAAGGCUCACCAAGCCGACGAUCCUUAGCUGGUCUGAGAGGAUGAUCAGCCACACUGGGACUGAGACACGGCCCAGACUCCUACGGGAGGCAGCAGUAGGGAAUAUUGGACAAUGGGCGAAAGCCUGAUCCAGCAAUGCCGCGUGAGUGAUGAAGGCCUUAGGGUUGUAAAGCUCUUUUACCCGGGAUGAUAAUGACAGUACCGGGAGAAUAAGCUCCGGCUAACUCCGUGCCAGCAGCCGCGGUAAUACGGAGGGAGCUAGCGUUGUUCGGAAUUACUGGGCGUAAAGCGCACGUAGGCGGCUAUUCAAGUCAGAGGUGAAAGCCCGGGGCUCAACCCCGGAACUGCCUUUGAAACUAAGAUAGCUUGAAUCCAGGGAGAGGUGAGUGGAAUUCCGGAGUGUAGAGGUGAACAUUCCGUAGAUAUUCGGGAAGAAACCACCAGUG